CAAAGGCUCCCUGCAGGAGAGUCAAAGCCCCCUGGAUCUGUUGAAGGCUGUUGGGCACAGCUAAUCAGACCCACCCAGAGCCGGGGCUCGGUUAGAAAGAGAGGCUAGAAGUCGAUCUAUCAACCAGCGUGGGUCCUUACGCCAAUCUAUUGUCUUCUCCAAAGAAUCCAAGUUCGCCCCCCUACCCUGCAUUCCUCGUGUUCUGUAGACCGAAAUAAAUACACCUGUCACCUCCCUUCCUGGUCCUCCAACUCAAAGGUGUUUCUUUAGGAAGGCUUUGUGGUGAGCCUCAUCUCUCCAGUAACCCGAAAAGAUGUCUUCUGGCUGAGGUACACCUCAGAGUGUGUCUACACCGGAGUGAACACAACCAAACAGAAACGAGCAUGUGAGUUGGAAGAGGAGAGUGCUCCCCUGUGGGAAGUGCAUGCUGCUGAGUGCUGUGUCAGGGGCUUUAUAUCCAGGAAGGCUUUGAUCUGCUCUGUGGUGGUUGCA